AUGCUCUCAGUGAGGUAUAGAGGCAGCAAAGAGCGGACAGAUUUCAAGCUUGGACUCUGAAGAAGGCAAUAGCUAUCAUGAUGAUGGACAAGCAUCAUUGGAAACCCCAGAGGUUCAAGGUAUAGGGAAGGUCGCAAGGCACCAAAGGGAAGAGGAUGGAAGAAAAAGAAAGAUGAUAAGAAAACUGCAGCACUGAGACAUCCCCAUCACAGCACGUGGCUGGUAAGCACUAAAACUUGGCAAUAUGGGUUCAAGUUUACACUAAUACUUAGAAGGAAUGAAAAUAAUAUUGAUUUCAGUUUACUUUCUGUUUGCUGACCUAUUGAGCAGUGUUGCCUGGGUUGGGAGAAAACAGAAAUUACUUAUUUUAUUCUCAAUAACUUCUAGCUCCUAGAACCUUCCAGAACCUGAGCCCUCUUUCAUCUGCAGCCUCCUGCGUAUUGGCAGGCACUGGUGUUUAUUCCUGGUACUGCUGCAUGUCCUAGAGUCUACUGCAAUGUCAUGGAUUUUCUCCUUUGGGGAUAUUGGAGGAGACACUAUUCUUUUGAGAGUCUGUAGGAUUUUUAUAAGGGUAAUUGAUAUGUGUGAAGCAUCGCAAAUA
rnacentral:lncRNA from 1 species